GCACACGGACCCCAUCUGCAUCGCCUCACUGAACCCUGGCCACAGCCGCACGGGGUGUGCUUCUCACCCCUGUCCUGGCGGGGGACGUGAGGCCCGGAGGGCUGUGCCUCCCGGCCACGAGGCACGCGGCCACUCAGGGGACAGGGCAGGCGAUGGACCCCGAGCCCCGCCCGCGGCGCCGCCCUCCGUCCAGCACCUCCGGCUCCGCCCGCGGCCUCCAGCAGCCCCUGGGCGGGGACGGUGCCCCGGGCUCAGCCCGCCCGGGAGAGAGGAAUCACAGCCCCGCCCGAUGCGGCUGUGUCCGCCGCCGGGGUCGCCGCUGCGGGAGGAGCGGGCAGAGACCGGGGCGGGGGAGCCGCCCGUCAGCCCCGCGAGCUCCGUCCUCCGAAGACCGUGUUGCGCCUGCGCCUCGUUCUGUAAAUUCUGCAGUGGCCUUUGGCCAAAAGCAAGAAAAUCGUGACCUAGAAAAGGUACUGAGGAGAUUAAACUCACUGUGUGGCUCCAGAGAGCAAAACGAGGACCAGUUGGCAGAACCUUCCAGGAGGCAGCCUCCCCAGGGGAGCUGCUGGCUCAAGAAGGACCUGAGGACAGACCGGAGCCCACCUACACCCUCAAGAAGAGCCCUCUCACCUGCCGAGGAAAAACCACAGGGCAGAACACAGGCACAGACCCUACAAGCUACUCACAGACUGACAAAACUGAGGACUUAAACCCAGGACACAACAUCUCAGAUAACUCUGAGAGGCUGCUCUGAAGAGGCAAGGGGAGAGCCAGGAUAUACAGGAGUUUUUGCAACAAAGAGCAGUGGUUGAGAAUCUGCCUGCUAAUGCAGGGGACACGGGUUCGAGCCCUGGUCUGGGAAGAUCCCACAUGCCGCAGAGCAACUAAGCCCGUGAGCCACAAUUACUGAGCCUGCGCGUCUGGAGCCUGUGCUCCGCAACAAGAGAGGCCGUGAUGGUGAGAGGCCCGCGCACCGCGAUGAAGAGUGGCCCCCGCUUGCCGCGACUGGAGAAAGCCCUCGCACAGAAACGAAGACCCAACACAGCCAUAAAAAAAAUAAAUAAAUAAAAAUUUAAAAAAAAAAAAGGAAAUGACUGUAUAUGAAAAGUAGGAUGUAUAUUUUCAGUAAAAGAAGGUAUGCAGAAAGGAAAUACGUUUUUACUGAGGAAAAUGAAUGGAAUUUUGUCCUAAAGUAAAAUGAUUGUUCCAGAACAGAAAAAAAGAAAAAGGUAAGACAAAACCUAAAUCAACAUAGAAAGUUAUAGAAGGUUUGUGGAAAAGGAACUUUUAUACAUGGACAGGACUAGCUAAGAUUGGAAUGAAUGAGUUUUAAUAUCAAAAGUAAGCUGGGGGGCUUCUGUGGUGGCGCAGUGGUUGAGAAUCUGCCUGCCAAUGCAGGGGACACGGGUUCGAGCCCUGGUCUGGGAAGAUCCCACGUGCCGCAGAGCGACUACGCCCGUGAGCCACAACUACUGAGCCUGCGCGUCUGGAGCCUGUGCUCCGCAACGGGAGAGGCCGCGAUAGUGAGAGGCCCGCGCACCGCGAUGAAGGGUGGCCCCCACUUGCCGCAACUAGAGAAAGCCCUCGCACAGAAACGAAGACCCAACACAGCCAUAAAUAAAUAAAUAAAUAAAUAAAUAAAACUAAAAAAAGAUGAGUUUGUGUACUAAACUCAUCAGUAUGUGUACUAAAAAAAAAAUUUAAAAAAAAAAAAAAGGGGCUUCCCUGGUGGCGCAGUGGUUGAGAAUCUGCCUGCCAAUGCAGGGGACACGGGUUCGAGCCCUGGUCUGGGAAGAUCCCAUAUGCCACGGAGCAACGAGGCCCGUGAGCCACAACUACUGAGCCUGCGCGUCUGGAGCCUGUGCUCCGCAACAAGAGAGGCCGCGAUAGCGAGAGGCCCACGCACCGCAAUGAAGAGUGGCCCCCGCUUGCCACAACUCGAGAAAGCCCUCGCACAGAAAUGAAGACCCAACACAGCCAUAAAUAAAUAAAUAAAUAAAAAUUUAAAAAAAAAAAAAUUAAAAAAAUAAAAAAUAAAACAGAUGUUUAAAAAAAAAAAUUAAAAAAGUAAGCUGGUACAAAAUUAGAAUUUGUUUUUCUCUCUGUUAAAAGGAUAAAUUUUUA